GCCCUACGGGGUGCAGCAGGCGCGAAAACUUUAUAAUGCUGGGAACAGCGAUAAGGGAACCUCGAGUGCCAGGUUACAAAUCUGGCUGUCGUGAUGCCUAAAAAGCAUUAUAUAGCAAGGGCCGGGCAAGACCGGUGCCAGCCGCCGCGGUAACACCGGCGGCUCGAGUGGUAACCGUUAUUAUUGGGUCUAAAGGGUCUGUAGCCGGCCGGAUAAGUCUCUUGGGAAAUCUGGCAGCUCAACUGUCAGGCUUUCAGGGGAUACUGUCUGGCUCGAGGCCGGGAGAGGUGAGAGGUACUUCAGGGGUAGGGGUGAAAUCUUGUAAUCCUUGAAGGACCACCAGUGGCGAAGGCGUCUCACCAGAACGGACCUGACGGCAAGGGACGAAAGCUAGGGGCACGAACCGGAUUAGAUACCCGGGUAGUCCUAGCCGUAAACGAUACUUGUUAGGUGUCGGCCACGGUGCGACCGUUGUCGGUGCCGUAGGGAAGCUGUGAAGCGAGCCACCUGGGAAGUACGGCCGUAAGGCUGAAACUUAAAGGAAUUGGCGGGGGAGCACCACAACGGGUGGAGCUUGCGGUUUAAUUGGAUUCAACGCCGGAAAUCCUAC
rnacentral:rRNA from 1 species